CUUCAAGCAAGGCACCAGAAAUCCAGUUUCACAUCAAGUUUCAUCGAAAUGCUUUAUAAACUGAACACAGGUACACAUACAUUGAACCUGUGUCUUAAGGAAGAAAGGAAAGGAGAAAAUGAAGACAAGCACAAUCCCAGCCACUGAAAACUGCUGUGGAGUGAAAGACCAACCUAUAAACCCAAAUUGAAAUAAACAAU